AGCAGCCGCGGUAAUUCCAGCUCCAAUAGCGUAUAUUAAAGUUGUUGCAGUUAAAAAGCUCGUAGUUGAAUUUCGGGAUCAAUAUAUUGGUCGUGCCUUCGGUAUGCACUGGUAUUAUUGAUUUCUACCUUCUGACGAACUAUGAUGUCAUUAAUUUGGUGUCAUGGGGAAUCAGGACUGUUACUUUGAAAAAUUAGAGUGUUUAAAGCAGGCACACGCUUGAAUACAUUAGCAUGGAAUAAUGAAAUAGGACGUUUGACCCUAUUUUGUUGGUUUCUAGGAUCGACGUAAUGAUUAAUAGGGAUAGUUGGGGGCAUUAGUAUUCAAUUGUCAGAGGUGAAAUUCUUGGAUUUAUUGAAGACUAACUACUGCGAAAGCAUUUGCCAAGGAUGUUUUCAUCAAUCAAGAACGAAAGUUAGGGGAUCGAAGACGAUCAGAUACCGUCGUAGUCUUAACCAUAAACUAUGCCGACUAGGGAUCGGAUGAUGUUAAUUUUUAAUGUACUCU
rnacentral:rRNA from 1 species